AGUCAACAUGCCCAGGGGACGUGGAUAACCUCGGGAAACUGAGGAUAAACCGCGAUAGGCCAUGAUUUCUGGAAUGGUUCAUGGCCGAAAUCUAUAUGGCCCUUGGAUUGGACUGCGGCCGAUCAGGCUGUUGGUGAGGUAAUGGCCCACCAAACCUGUAACCGGUACGGGCUCUGAGAGGAGGAGCCCGGAGAUGGGCACUGAGACAAGGGCCCAGGCCCUAUGGGGCGCAGCAGGCGCGAAAUCUCUGCAAUAGGCGAAAGCUUGACAGGGUUACUCUGAGUGAUUCCCGCUAAGGGGAUCUUUUGGCACCUUUAAAAAUGGUGCAGAAUAAGGGGUGGGCAAGUCUGGUGUCAGCCGCCGCGGUAAUACCAGCACCCCGAGUGGUCGGGACGAUUAUUGGGCCUAAAGCAUCCGUAGCCGGUACUGCAAGUCUUCCGUUAGAUCCACCUGCUUAACAGUUGGGCUGCGGGGGAUACUACAGCGCUAGGAGGCGGGAGAGGCAAGCGGUACUCGAUGGGUAGGGGUAAAAUCCGUUGAUCCAUUGAAGACCACCAGUGGCGAAGGCGGCUUGCCAGAACGCGCUCGACGGUGAGGGAUGAAGGCUGGGGGAGCAAACCGGAUUAGAUACCCGGGUAGUCCCAGCUGUAAACGAUGCAGACUCGGUGAUGAGUUGGCUUAUUGCUAACUCAGUGCCGCAGGGAAGCCGUUAAGUUUGCCGCCUGGGGAGUACGGUCGCAAGACUGAAACUUAA
rnacentral:rRNA from 1 species